GAUGAACGCUGGCGGCGUGCCUAAUACAUGCAAGUCGAGCGAACAGACGAGGAGCUUGCUCCUUUGACGUUAGCGGCGGACGGUUGAGUAACACGUAGGUAACCUACCUAUAAGACUGGGAUAACUUCGGGAAACCGGAGCUAAUACCGGAUAAUAUUUCGAACCGCAUGGUUCGAUAGUGAAAGAUGGCUUUGCUAUCACUUAUAGAUGGACCUGCGCCGUAUUAGCUAGUUGGUAAGGUAACGGCUUACCAAGGCAACGAUACGUAGCCGACCUGAGAGGGUGAUCGGCCACACUGGAACUGAGACACGGUCCAGACUCCUACGGGAGGCAGCAGUAGGGAAUCUUCCGCAAUGGGCGAAAGCCUGACGGAGCAACGCCGCGUGAGUGAUGAAGGUCUUCGGAUCGUAAAACUCUGUUAUUAGGGAAGAACAAACGUGUAAGUAACUGUGCACGUCUUGACGGUACCUAAUCAGAAAGCCACGGCUAACUACGUG
rnacentral:rRNA from 1 species